CCGCUUACCAAAUACGACCAAUAUAUCAUUGAGUUUGAGACAUUGACUAGUGCAGAGGAUUGCUAGAUUUCCUAUGGGAACGAGGGAGCUACAAAUUCGGAAAGUUGCAAGUUCAAUCACUCUAUUCCAAGAAUGACCAAGGUAGCUUUCUUUCUACUUAUGUACAUUUGCUUAACAUUUAUUUUCGAUGAGCUGAAGUGUUAGAAAACUUCCAAUCCUUGUACGUUGCCUCUGACG